UUUUUUUUAUAAUAAAUUUAUUUUUUAUUGGUGUUCAAUUUACCAACAAACAGGAUAACACCCAGUGCUCAUCCCAUCAAGUGCCCCCCUCAGUGCCCGUCACCCAGUCACCCCCACCCCCUGCCCUCCUCUCCUUCCACCACCCCUAGUUUGUUUCCCAGAGUUAGGAGUCUUUAUGUUCUGUCUCCCUUUCUGAUAUUUCCCACACAUUUCUUCUCCCUUCCCUUAUAUUCCCUUUCACUAUUAUUUAUAUUCCCCAAAUGAAUGAGAACUUAUAAUGUUUGUCCUUCUCCGAUUGACUUACUUCACUCAGCAUAAUACCCUCCAGUUCCAUCCACGUUGAAGCAAAUGGUGGGUAUCUGUCGUUUCUAAUGGCUGAGUAAUAUUCCAUUGUAUACCUAUACCACAUCUUUUUUAUCCAUUCAUCUUUCGAUGGACACCGAGGCUCCUUCCACAGUUUGGCUAUUGCAGACCCAUCUUCUAUCAGCCCAAGGCAUCAGGGUGAAAUAUAAUCACAGUUCCCCACUGCUAGGUCAGUUGUCUCUUAUUAGACAUCAGUAAGACUUUCUCAUGUCCAUUAUGAGCUCAGUUUUGAAAGCAAAGCUGGGUCCAUCCAUUUAUUCUUGUGGUCCAGGUGCAAGUGGAAUCAGUGCCAUUUUGCAGCAAUUUCUACCAAGUAGACAAUGUAUAGUCCCAAUUUGGCAUGUGCAGCUGCAAAACUAGAUAUUCAUCCUACCCCCCCACCUCCCAUGCAUUCUAGCCCCUUGACUGAGACCUUAUUAUGUAUGAAUUUACCAGUCUAAUGAGCUCCCCCUUCACUAUUAGAUAGGGAUCUUGUUUAGUUGUCUUUGUGGCUCCAUUUCCUUCCACCCUUCCCCAGGACCUGGGCCAGUGCUCUAUCCAAGUAGGCUCUAGAUGUUUGUUGACUAAAUACUUCUGAAACACUGUUUAGGGCACUGGUGAGGGGGUGGGGAAAAUUGCUUUGCUGGAGCUGUACAUGAAGGGGGAGGCUUAAUUCUACAGGGCUGGAAUGAAAUAAAGUGGGAGGAUGAAGGAUGUUUGAAAAACUGGGGGUGGAAGUCACUAGGGAAAAAAGAUAUGCAAAGGGGAAUUUUGUGUUCUAUUUUGGAGUUAAAUUCAUCAAGACUAUAUAAACCUCAAUGCAUCAAAAGUGAUACCACCUCAUAAGUCUUGGACCGUACCAUCUAAUCGGUAGUCAGUAGUUACAUGUGGCUAUUUAAAUUUAGAUUAAUUAGAAUUAAAUAAAAAUAAAAAUCUAUUCCUAACACUAAUCAUAUUUUAAAGGUCAGCUGCCACAUAUAACUAGUGACUGCUGUAUAAGGCAACACAGAUGUAUAGCCUUUCAAUCAUCUCCAAAAAACUAUGUCAGACAGCACUGCUCUAGGGGAUAUCAUUUUGUCUAUCCUUUAUUCAUUCAUUCUAUAAAUAUUAACUGAGCACCUACUUUGUUCCUGGCACUGCAAGGAGAAAGGGCUGCAAUGCCAGAAUAGCUGGAAGAGACUCUUGUUAGGCUGCUCAUUCACUGUGUAACCUUGGGCAAGUCACUUACUUGCCUGUGCUUUUGUUUAAUCACUUGUAAAAUGAAAAUAAUAAAAUUAUCUCAUAACGUUGUUAUGAGGAUUAAGUGCUUUUGUUUGUGUGUGCAUGUAUGUAUAUGUGUAUGAAUGUACAUACAUGUGUGUGCAUGUGAGUAUAUAUGUGUGUGUGCAUAAUUGUAUAUUGUGUGUGCAUACAUAAACGUAUGUUAGAACCAUUUUUGGCACAUAUUCUGUGCUUUGUCAGUAAGAGCUGUUACUAACACUGUAAGUAUUUAUUACAGAGCAAUGAACAAAACAACUAUGGUUCAUGCUGUCCUGGAAUUUACCAUCUAGUGGGAGCAGCAGACAAUAAAUCAUUAAAAAUUAAUAAUUACCAACUAUGUCAAGAACUGGAAGGAAAUGAAUGGGGUGAAGCCAGAGAGCAUAACAGGGGAAAAACUACCUAGAAACUUCUCAGAGGUGGUAACAUUUAAGAAAAAAAGAAAAGAGGAGAAAUGCCAUUCUUGCAAAGGGAGGAGGAGGAGAGGACCGAGACAGACAAAAGCACACCAUGAAGGAGGACAGUGUGACUAUAGCACAGCAGGAAAGGCCGAGGUUCUAGAUAAUGUUUGGAGGAGAGGAAAAGAAGGCUGAAAGCAGUGGUGCAGAAUGUGCACUAGGUGACGUAUAUUUAUAUUAUAUGUAAAAUGACCACUCUGGGAGCUGGUUAGCAGAGUCUAUUAGAAGUCUAUUUCAAUAGAUCAGGAGGGGAGGGGGAUGAUUUAAACUCAGACAGUAGGCACGCAAGUGAAAAGAAAUGAGCAGAUUCUAGAUAUAUUUGACAGAAUCAAGGAGACUUGCUGAUGGAUUAUAUGUAGUUGGUAAGAGGGAGGCAUCCAGGCCAAUGCUCAGAUUUUUUUACUUGAUUAACUAAGUCAAUAGUAGUUUCAUUUACUGUAGUAACUGAUACCUCUAGAGAACAUUUUUGAGAUAGAAAAACCAAAACUAUUGAUGAUAUGUAGUCUGCUAGAUAUGGAAGUCUGGUGUCCACAUGAAUGACUGGAUUUGAGAUAGGCACAUGGUUAUCAUUAGUUCACAGAUGAAAGUCCCCAACAAAACAACAAUUUGGCUGAAGAAAAUUUAUUUAUUUAUUUAGAUCUCUCUCUCUCUGUAUGUGUGUGUGUAUACAUAUAUAUGUAUAUAUAUAUGUAUAUAUGUAUGUGUGUGUGUAUAUGUAAACCUUAAGUCCUCCAAGUCUCUGGAAAUUGUUUUAAUGGCAUAUAGUUAAUGGAGAAAUUUCAUUCAAAUAAAUUUACUAAAUCUCAGUAAGCACAGUAAAAGUCUGUGACAUUUGAGUCGUGAUGUCCACUUCCCAGCUACAUCUUAUGGUAAGCCUCCAGCAUUUUUCACCCUCUCUCAAAAGUGCCAUGUUUCAGAAGUUGUAUUCACAGUGGACUGGAGUCCUCAUGUAGCCCCAACUUAUGGGAUAGAAGCUAACUGCCAGAUAUAACAAGUCAGUAGUACUGGACUCUAGUCAUCUGAGCAGCUUCCAGUAGACUAGGAGUCCCAUGCUAGGAGGGUCAAGCCAAGAAGAAUAGGGGCCACCAUCCUUCCCCAAUGCCUGAUUAUAGUCAUAGAGCAGAAAUGUCACUCUUGGAGAAGUGAGCAUUCUGAACUCUUGUUUAGUGGCAUAGAGCUUCAGUCCGGGAUGGAGAGGCAGACCACUAUAGUUCUGACUGAGGAGAGUGACCUUAUUUGGAAUAAAACGUGGUGAAUUCUGUGCCUAGGAUGUUGUUGAAAACAAUGGUGAUCUUGGUAGAGAGCAAUUAAAAUGCCAAUAGCUACAAGAUUUUGGCAGCAAUGAGUAAGACAGUAGAGCAAUCAGAAGUUUAACAGAAAGAACAUAGGAAUAGACAACCAAGAAGAGCCCUCCUGGCAACAUAGGCAACUUUGGGGGCUGGAAAUGUAGCACAGAAGUAGUGGACUGUAUGUAGCCAGUAGUAAUCUGAACAGGACAUGGGGCAGACUGAAAUCAUUUCCAAGUUCCACAGAGAAAAAUAAAAUAAAUACAAAGGGUACAAGCUGGCACAGGCACAGGGGGCUUAAGGACAACCUCUAACCAAACACUCGCUGAGCAAUAAGCUCCUUGAACCCAGGAGCAACUUCUAAGAAAGGAGGCUUCAAAAUAAAAGCACACAUAUCUCUGGUAAUCUGGAAGACCAUGUGUAUGUGUAAGGCUGAAUUCUCUCAGGAGUGAAUGGAGAGGGAUAAUCAAAGCUACUAGUCCUUGGAUAAACAGGGUACAAAAAUGUAAACUUCUUCAUCUGUGAAAGUACUGUCAUUGUGCUACCCACAUAUUUAGUGGUAAAGGCAAAAAACUAAUUGCCAAUAGGGAUUAAGCGUGACCUUUGACCAACAAGUGGCUUAUGCCAAUUAGUUAGUGACCCUGAAAUAACCAGGCUAAAAGGCAAAACAAACAAACAAAAAAACAAAACAGACAAACAAACAAACAAAAAAAAAAACAGGAGUGAUACCAGAGAUUGCACACUGGAUAGAAAUCAAGUUCACAGAGUUAGUUUAACCAAGUUUCUAAACAAAUAACUCAAUGAGAAAACAGGAAUAAUAUCAAUCCCUAUGUGCAGAGGCAGAUGUGGAAUCAGUAUCCAGAGUUGCUAUAAUAUAUUAUCUAAAGUCUUCAGUUUUCAACAAAAAAAUUACAAGAUACUCAAGCAGAAAAGUGUGACCUAUACAAUAGGGAAAAAUAAGGCAUUAGUAACUAUGUUUAAGGAAUUCAGAUGUUGAACUUAGCAGACAGACUUUAAAGCAGCUAUUAUAAAUGUGCUUAAAGGACUAAAGAAGAGCAUGUCUAAGGAAUUAAAGGCAGCUAUGAGAACAAUGUCUUUUCCCAUAAAAAUCAGUAAGGAGAUAUAAAUUAUAAAAAGUGAACCAAAUAUAAAUUAUUUAGUUGAAAAAUAUACUAAUAGAAAUGAAAAAGUUUCUAUAGGAGUUCAAAAAUAGAUUUUCUCUGGCAGAAAAAAAGGAUCUGGAAAUUUGAAGUAGAUUGAUAAAGAUCAUGCAAUCUAAAAAGCAGAAAAAUAAAAUGAAAAAUGAACAGACCAUAAAAAAAAUGUAGGCCAUAAUUAAACAUCAAUAUGUGUGUAAUGAAAGUACCAGAAAGAAAGAAGAGGCUGAAAAAAUAUUUAAAGAACUGAGAGCUAAAUCUUCCCAAAUUUAAUGAAAAGAAAUCUGUACACCCAAGAGGCUCCAUAAGGAUGAUAAACACAAAUAGACCCCAAUCAGACACAUGAUAGUAAAAUAUUUGAAAGUCAAAUAUAAAGAGAACAUCUUGAAAGCAGCGACAAAUGACUCAUCACAUACAAGAGAAUGCCAAGAUAGACAGCUAACUUUUGAUUACAAACAGUGAAGGCCAGAAGGCAAUGUGUGGACAUUUUUUAAAGUGAUGGGAGAAAACACUAUCAACCAAGAAUCAGCAAAAACCCUUUUGAAGAUGAUAGCAAAGUAAAUAUAUUCUGAGAGAUUUUGUUGAUAGACUUGCCAUAUAAGAAAAACUAAAGGAAGUUAGGCUGAAAAGAAGUAGCAUCAGACAAAUAAUUUGAACCCACACACCAAAAACAUGGAUGGGCAAUAAAGGUGAUUAUAAAAGAUGAUGUAGAGUGACGUCAUGGAAGAUGAUGGAAUAGGAAACUUCAGGAACCAGUCCUGCCACAAAACAAAACAAAAACAAAAACAAACUUUUGAGAAGGAAUUUAUAGUCAGAAUCAACUAUUUUGGAAAUAUGAGGUCUGGUCAAAGUAUGGCAUUAUCUAGGUGAGUCCUUAAUGAGGUAAGAGGCUGGUAAAUUUUGAUGUGACUUUUGCAUGGAAUGCAAAACAGAAGCUACCGUCUUCCAUUUUCCGGCCCUGCAUCAGGUGGCUGUGGGGAUGACAACGCAUGUUUCUGGUGUGCCUUAAAGCUGUCAGGAUGUACAAUAAGCACCUUGUUUUUCAAGGAUCAGGAUUAUAUGUGUCGAUUUACCUUGUAGAUUACAGUGGGAGCAUUGCAGGAGCUGGUCGUUGUUGCAACUGUCUUAUGCUGAAGCAGCUUCAGGGCAGCAUUUGUCAGGGAAUUAAAAGAACAGAAUGCUUUUCAUUUCUCUCUCUUUAUUGGAUCCCUGCAUUCAAGGAAUCUCUGUUAGGCCGCUAGCCAACUGUUGAGAUAACAGAAUGGAGACUUUAGUGAGUGCUCACACAUGACAGGAAAAAUGGUCCUUGCAAAAAUAGUUUAGAGAAGUCACUAAACAGACAGAUGACUAUAUCCUUCUGAGCAACAUCAGCAAUCUCUGGGGAACAGGGGGAAUCUGAUUCCUAGAAGUACAACAUUAUAUAAAAAAGUCCAGUUCUCAACAAAAAAUUACAAAGCAUACAAAGAAUCAGAUAUGUGUGGUCUGUUCACAGAGGAAAAAAUAAACAUGAUAUACCUCAAAAAAAAAAAAAAAAAAAAAAAA
rnacentral:lncRNA from 1 species